GAAGAGUUAGUUAAAUACAUAACAUCAGAAUGUCAAACUGAAGUAAUCAAUAAGAUACCCUUCU
rnacentral:tRNA from 1 species